UUCAGUCAAACAAAAUUCCCUAACAGCAUCCAAAAACUUCCUGAAAUUAUCUAAAGUAGAAUCUGUAUACUGGCAUCACCACAUAAAUUCACAAAAAUAUCCUCCGUAGUGCCGGUAUCUUCUGACAUUUGACCAUACACUUUUCCUCCGUACAAACAGGAGUCCACCAGCGGCUAAGCGGUAAAGUCGCUGAGCGCUGGUAGUUCGGUCCGAGGUUCGAAUCCUGUGAACGGGCUGGCUGCAUGGGCGUUUUCGUGGUUUUCCCCAUGUGUAACGUGUAUACAAGCCAGUUUCCCUUAGAAAGUCCUCCACGAAGGCAUCCUUCCCCUUAGGCCGAUAGCCCCAGUGUGCUUUGCCGUAAUCUCAAACCAAGCCGUGUAAACAGGAUACUUAUAAUGGCUACUAAGUAAACCUCCAUUUACACACCAGUCAAUUACUGCUUUUUUCCCCUUUCGUUCCUAAUUGUACAGAAACUUAAUUAAUCUUACUACAUUCAGCCAUUUUACCGUGUAAACCACAAAAUAACCAACGUACUUCCUAACCAACAUCCAGCACACAAACAAGCCGUUACAAAUCUUUUCCUGUCAUUCAAAUUCACCGAAAUCACGUAACCAAUUACGUCAUAAUAGGGUUUCCAUAACUUUCACUUACUCAGAUUACGAUAAAUGAAACAACAACUUGACGAUAAAUGAAACAACUUAGUGAUAAUCCAAGGGACACUCUGACACCCUUAAAUAUACUAAACCAAAAAAAAGCAAUGGAGAAUUGCACAAACUCGGCACCGGCCAAACCUCUGCAAUAACAGCUAUCUACCAAAUGAAUAUUCUUGUAUUUGCCUUUAGAAAUUAUGCUAAAAAAUUUUGUAUUUCUGCAGAAAUUUUACCAUGGUUUCUUCCAUUGCUGGCAAAUUCAGAAGCAUCAGAACUUGAAAUACAACAAAAAGAACUUUGUAUUCUUUUUUACAAGCAUUGCUAGACUGAUGCUGAUGGAUUGUUAGACUGAUGGAUUGCAGCAUUGCUAGACUGAUGGAUUGUUAUGAGCAUGAUUGAUAGAGUUUGGGAGGAGGGGAGGAUUUGGCAACUUCUACUAAAUGGUUGUGGUAAUGUGUAAUUACCCAUAAAAAAGAUUUCUAAGCCCAUUAUGGCAAAAAGAAGGACUUCCUAUGAAUUGAAAAUGCAAUGGUGAGAUUUAUUAGAAAUAUUUGAAAGUGACGACGAUUGCAUUUCGGAAACUGAAAUUGAAAAUAGGAAUAUUUCCUACACUGUUUGGUUUCGAAAAAGAUAAAACAUUAAUUUCUUAUGUUCCUAAAAAAGGAAAAACAGUUCUUAUGCUUUUAACAUUACAUAACGAUGAUGCUAUAAAUGACACUACUGGAGAAAGAAAAUGCCACAAAUUAUUUGUUUUAAUAAUACGACUAAGGGAGCAGUGGAUACUGUGGAUGAAAGGGCAACAAGUUAUUCAAUUGCCAGAAUAACAAGGAAGUGGCCAAUGAUAAUUUUCUUUUCUGCACUGAAUGUUGCUGCAAUAAAUGCUCGAAUUAAAUUACUUUCAACUCCUAAUCCACCAACCACAUACAGAAGCAGAUGUCUGAUUUAGAGGCACUUAGCAUUACAAUUAAUAAAAAUAUGUAUGGAACAAUGAUCAGAGAUUAAUACUUUACCGAGAAAUGUAUGUACUGCAUUGCAAAAGAAGAGCAGAAGUUUCAAGGAAUAAUUCAAACGAAUGUGUGAAAUUCGAAGCAACUAAGUGUAAAAGAUGUGAGGAAUGCCCUUGAGCCAAAGAAUGUGAAUGCGAUAUUUAAAAUAUGAAAAACUUUCUGUGUUAAGAACACAUGAAUAUAUUUUGUUCAAAGAGUAAACAAAUAAAAUAAGCAAUAUGAUUAGAA
rnacentral:lncRNA from 1 species